rnacentral:rRNA from 1 species
AGCGAACGCUGGCGGCAUGCCUAACACAUGCAAGUCGCACGGGGGGGCUUCGGCCUCCCAGUGGCGGACGGGUGAGGAACGCGUAGGGACCUGUCGAGGGGUGGGGGAUAACCGCGGGAAACUGCGGCUAAUACCGCAUGACGCCGCGGCGUGACAGCCGGGGCCAAAGGCGAAAGCCGCCCGCCGAGGGGCCUGCGUCCGAUUAGCUGGUUGGCGGGGUAGCGGCCCACCAAGGCGUCGAUCGGUAGCUGGUCUGAGAGGGUGAUCAGCCACACCGGGACUGAGACACGGCCCGGACUCCUACGGGAGGCAGCAGUGGGGAAUAUUGGACAAUGGGCGCAAGCCUGAUCCAGCAAUGCCGCGUGGGUGAAGAAGGUCCUCGGAUUGUAAAGCCCUUUCGGCGGGGACGAUGGUGACGGUACCCGCAGAAGAAGCCCCGGCUAACUUCGUG